rnacentral:rRNA from 1 species
UGAGGAAUAUUGGUCAAUGGGCGCAAGCCUGAACCAGCCAUCCCGCGUGCAGGAAGACGGCCCUAUGGGUUGUAAACUGCUUUUCCAGGGGGAGAAUUUUUCUGUCGUGACAGGAAUUGACGGUACCCUGGGAAUAAGCAUCGGCUAACUCCGUGCCAGCAGCCGCGGUAAUACGGAGGAUGCGAGCGUUAUCCGGAUUUAUUGGGUUUAAAGGGUGCGUAGGCGGAUUGAUAAGUCAGUGGUGAAAACCUGCAGCUUAACUGUAGACUUGCCGUUGAUACUGUCAGUCUUGAGUGUGGUCAAGGUAGGCGGAAUGUGUAAUGUAGCGGUGAAAUGCUUAGAUAUUACACAGAACACCGAUUGCGAAGGCAGCUUACUGGGCCAUUACUGACGCUGAUG